AACGAACGCUGGCGGCAUGCCUAACACAUGCAAGUCGAACGAGACCUUCGGGUCUAGUGGCGCACGGGUGCGUAACGCGUGGGAACCUGCCCUUAGGUUCGGAAUAACUCCCCGAAAGGGGUGCUAAUACCGGAUAAUGUCUUCGGACCAAAGAUUUAUCGCCUUUGGAUGGGCCCGCGUUGGAUUAGCUAGUUGGUAGGGUAAAAGCCUACCAAGGCGACGAUCCAUAGCUGGUCUGAGAGGAUGAUCAGCCACACUGGGACUGAGACACGGCCCAGACUCCUACGGGAGGCAGCAGUGGGGAAUAUUGGACAAUGGGCGAAAGCCUGAUCCAGCAAUGCCGCGUGAGUGAUGAAGGCCUUAGGGUCGUAAAGCUCUUUUACCCGGGAUGAUAAUGACAGUACCGGGAGAAUAAGCUCCGGCUAACUCCGUG
rnacentral:rRNA from 1 species